rnacentral:lncRNA from 1 species
CAACCACCCUCCGUACCCAUGAAUCCACAGCUACAAAGGGCUGACUGUAUUGAUCCAAAAAAAAAAGAAAGUGGAUUUUUUAAAAUGAUCUUUUGCAGUUUGUGGGUCUCUGUAUCUUUCAACACAUAACUUCACCAUUUAUAGAGUAAAUGGUGGAAGUGAGAUCGGCGUAUUUACUGACUUACCCAGGUUUGAGGAUAAGUGAAUCCUGACUAGUGGCUUGUCCACCAACCACUGAUGCUUUAGUUCUGUUCAGCAGGUUCUGGAUUCAUUUGCCCUGGGUUGAUAGAUGGAGGAACUCUUUUGGACAACCCUAAAGCUGUGAUUUUAUGUGUUAGUUUUAUUUUCAGUCUUGCUAAAUAAAAUGAGUCUUU